rnacentral:rRNA from 1 species
AGUUGGGGCUGCCUUAACAUGCAAGUCGAACGGUAACAGGGAGCUUGCUCCGCUGACGAGUGGCGAACGGGUGAGUAAUACAUCGGAACGUGCCCAGUAAUGGGGGAUAGCUCGGCGAAAGCCGGAUUAAUACCGCAUACGCCCUGAGGGGGAAAGUGGGGGACCGCAAGGCCUCACGUUAUUGGAGCGGCCGAUGGCUGAUUAGCUAGUUGGUAGGGUAAAGGCCUACCAAGGCGACGAUCAGUAGCUGGUCUGAGAGGACGAUCAGCCACACUGGGACUGAGACACGGCCCAGACUCCUACGGGAGGCAGCAGUGGGGAAUUUUGGACAAUGGGGGAAACCCUGAUCCAGCAAUGCCGCGUGUGCGAAGAAGGCCUUCGGGUUGUAAAGCACUUUUGUCAGGGAAGAAAUCCUUUGGGCUAAUACCCUAGGGGGAUGACGGUACCUGAAGAAUAAGCACCGGCUAACUACGUGCCAGCAGCCGCGGUAAUACGUAGGGUGCAAGCGUUAAUCGGAAUUACUGGGCGUAAAGCGUGCGCAGGCGGUUGUGUAAGACAGGUGUGAAAUCCCCGGGCUUAACCUGGGAAUUGCAUUUGUGACUGCACGACU